AGAAUUUGGUGACUGCGUUCUUCCGAAACCAGUUACCUCGGUUCAAAGAGUUCCAGCUCUAAGAACCAACCUUUAAGAAAACCGCCUUUCCAGAGGUGGUUUUUCUUU
rnacentral:antisense_RNA from 1 species